CGCAUCUGUGCAUGCAGCAUAUCAAUAAGCGGAGGAAAAGAAACUAACAAGGAUUCCCCUAGUAACGGCGAGUGAAGCGGGAAGAGCUCAAAUUUGAAAUCUUAAAGGGUUUCCCUUUACGAAUUGUAGUUUAAAGAAGUGUUUUCUGCUGAGGUUUUGGUAAAAGUUCUUUGGAAUAGGACAUCAUAGAGGGUGAGAAUCCCGUAUUUGACCUUUACUUUCAACUUUGUGAUACACUUUCAAAGAGUCGGAUUGUUUGGGAAUGCAGUCCAAAAUGGGUGGUAAAUUUCAUCUAAAGCUAAAUAUUGGCGAGAGACCGAUAGCGAACAAGUACCGUGAGGGAAAGAUGAAAAGAACUUUGAAAAGAGAGUUAAACAGUACGUGAAAUUGUCAAAAGGGAAGCGUUUGACACCAGUGUUGUUUUUCUGAAAAUCAAUUAAAGAACUGUUUAUGCUAAGCUUGUUUAGACUUUAUCAGCUAACUGUUUAGUUUUGAGCUUUUCUUUAAUGCACUUUUCAGUUAACAAGUCAACAUCAAUUUCUUUUGCUGUAAAAAAGCUUGAGGAAGGUGGCUUGAGAUUCGUCUUAAGUGUUUAUAGCCUCUUGCCUAUGCAGUCGGAGAGAUUGAGGUCUGCAGCGUAGAUCCUUCGGGGCUAAAUGCAUUUGUGCUAAGUUAUAGCAUUUUAUAGACAACUUGUUGACUAUGAUUUGUCUUGUAGCUUACUCGCUUAUGUUAUUUUACCUACGCUUAGGAUGUUGAACGCGCACAGAGUCUC
rnacentral:rRNA from 1 species